UGUUGUGCUCGGGCUCUCUGUGGAGCAGCCUUGUCUCCAUGUGUUUGGAGGAUUCACUCAGAGCAGACACAACAUGAGAAACAAGAGCAGAGCUCAGGUCAGAGAUAAGUGGCGCCUGGCUGUAAGUCUGCCGGGCCAAUUAAAGCUGACAGCAGCUGCAGAUACUUAAGACUGCCAUCGGCCCUGGUCACACCACUGCUUAACGGUGACCACUUGAACUACUGUCCUUCCAUACGGUCAACUCUAAAGGCAGUCCUCCUGUUGAGUCAGAGGGGCGCUCGGGUGGAGGUGACUGAGGUCGCCUGUGGCGGUAACUUCUGGCUCAUAUUCAGGGAGUGAGGAUCGAAAUGAACAAUGUUCAACAGUUUGGCGCUGGUUGGUUGUGGGGGUUGUCUGUCCAUCCUCUUCCAUGUGAACCAUCAUGUUGUGAAAGCUGCUGAUUGGAUUACAUCGUCUGUGGCCUCGCUGGAGCCAUGGUUCUCAGCCUGCUUUUCAUUCAUGUACAUUGUCAGCUCAAGGUCAUCAGAAUAUUGUCUUGAUCUGAAAUCAGCGUGAGUGUGUGGGUGUCAAGGAAACUGUGGUUUUCAAAUUUCAAAUUACAAGUAAAACAUCUGAGUUGCAGGUGAAACUAAAAUUGUUGAAAAAAUUAAACAAAAAAUUAAAGAGUAAGUGGUUUUUGGGGGAGAACUCAUAACUCAUUACCUCUCAGUCCUCUCUCUGAUGACGGGCUCGCUGUAGUGCUGAUUGUACUCGUAUGCUUCCAGGGUUGGGAAUUCAAAUAUUCUUUUCAGGUAUUGAAGGAAAGCACAGUCUCCUGCAGCGGCUGCUGCACACUGUAUCUGGUAUGUGGGUCCAGUUCAGUGAGAAAACACUCCUCUAAUUUCCUUCCAGCAUAGCUGACAUUCCAGCGUGGAUGUAGGAUGUAGGAUGUAGGAUGUAGGAUUUCGUCCCCUGCUACCACUGUAAGAAAACAAAAUGUGUUGUGAUGUUACUGUCCGGCCGGCCCCUCCUGAGUCAUUAGUAUGCAUAACAGGCACACUCCGGUUAACAGGUCGAGGUUGGAGGUCAAGGGUGAGUGGAGCUAAUGCUUUCAUGCUCUUGAUUCAGCUCCUCUCGGGUGUAAUACCCGCCUGUCAAUUUGUUUGAGCUGCGGAUUUACAUAAUGAAUUUAUAUUAGCCGGUGUUCUCCACACACUCGCUCCUUCACUCCCGUCUCUCUCUUCAGUUCCUCUCUCUCUCUUAGUGUUGCAAUUACUCUCCUUGCUCUCCCUCUCCCUCUCUCUCUCUCUUCACUUCCCUCCAUUCUUUCCACCUCCCCUCUCCACUCCCCUCAUCCUCCUCUCAUCAAGUUUACCAAGUGCCCAGAGAGCAGAGUGUUUAAAUGCAAACGAGCCUCAUUUCCAAACUGACGCCACAGCCCAAGUAUGCCUCGCAUACAACAGCCCAAACCCCGCUGAGAGGCUCCGACAAGAGAUGGAUGGACGGAGAUGAUGGAGCGAGAGAGAGAGAGAGUGACGGAUGGAAAUGGAGAGAAGGAGUGGGGGGGUUCUUGGAAGUAAUGUGCGAGCAUAAAAUAGGAUGCAGAGCAGCAGGGCGGCAGAUCUUGUAGGUGUCAGGCGCUGCUGACAUUCCUGCGAGAGAAUAAGUGAUUUAAUUUAUGCACCACCAUGUGACCAAGUUCACCAUGAGAGUAUUAUUGUUUUGUUUUUUGGCAUGGCAGUAAUGGUACACACACACACACACACACACACACACACACACACACACACACACAAAAGAAACAUCAAGAGUGUACUGAAGCAUAUUUCACAAGUG